UACGUAGGAGGCAAGCGUUGUCCGGAAUUACUGGGCGUAAAGAGCGUGUAGGCGGUAGAGUAAGUCUGUAGUGAAAUCUCAUGGCUCAACUAUGAGAGGUCUAUGGAAACUGCUCAACUGGAGGAAGGUAGAGGAGGGUGGAAUUCCCGGUGUAGUGGUGAAAUGCGUAGAUAUCGGGAGGAACACCAGGUGGGCGAAGGC
rnacentral:rRNA from 1 species